UACAGAGGGGGCAAGCGUUGUUCGGAAUUACUGGGCGUAAAGGGCGCGUAGGCGGCCUGUUAAGUCGAACGUGAAAUCCCCCGGGCUCAACCCGGGAACUGCGUCCGAUACUGGCAGGCUUGAAUCCGGGAGAGGGAUGUGGAAUUCCAGGUGUAGCGGUGAAAUGCGUAGAUAUCUGGAGGAACACCGGUGGCGAAGGCGGCAUCCUGGGACCGGUAUUGACGCUGAGGCGCGAAAGCCAGGGGAGCAAACGGG
rnacentral:rRNA from 1 species